AACUUUUCAGCUAGAGUAUGAUAGAGGAAAGCAGAAUUUCUAGUGUAGAGGUGAAAUUCGUAGAUAUUAGAAAGAAUACCAAUUGCGAAGGCAGCUUUCUGGAUCAUUACUGACACUGAGGAACGAAAGCAUGGGUAGCGAAGAGGAUUAGAUACCCUCGUAGUCCAUGCCGUAAACGAUGUGUGUUAGACGUUGGAAAUUUAUUUUCAGUGUCGCAGCGAAAGCGAUAAACACACCGCCUGGGGAGUACGACCGCAAGGUUAAAACUCAAAUGAAUUGACGGGGACCCGCACAAGUAGCGGAGCAUGUGGUUUAAUUCGAAGAUACGCGCAGAACCUUACCAACACUUGACAUGUUCGUCGCGACUCUAAGAGAUUAGAGUUUUCGGUUCGGCCGGACGAAACACAGGUGCUGCAUGGCUGUCGUCAGCUCGUGUCGUGAGAUGUUGGGUUAAGUCCCGCAACGAGCGCAACCCUCACUUUUAGUUGCCAUCAUUAAGUUGGGCACUCUGAAAGAACUGCCAGUGAUAAGCUGGAGGAAGGUGGGGAUGACGUCAAGUCCUCAUGGCCCUUACGUGUUGGGCUACACACGUGCUACAAUGGUAUCUACAACAGGAAGCAAGACUGCGAGGUCAAGCAAAUCCUUAAAAGAUACCUCAGUUCGGAUUGCACUCUGCAACUCGAGUGCAUGAA
rnacentral:rRNA from 1 species